UGGGAACGGCAUCCGGAACUGUCAAGCUAGAGUGCAGGAGAGGAAGGUAGAAUUCCCGGUGUAGCGGUGAAAUGCGUAGAGAUCGGGAGGAAUACCAGUGGCGAAGGCGGCCUUCUGGACUGACACUGACACUGAGGUGCGAAAGCGUGGGUAGCAAACAGGAUUAGAUACCCUGGUAGUCCACGCCGUAAACGAUGUCGACCAGCCGUUGGGUGCCUAGCGCACUUUGUGGCGAAGUUAACGCGAUAAGUCGACCGCCUGGGGAGUACGGCCGCAAGGUUAAAACUCAAAUGAAUUGACGGGGGCCCGCACAAGCGGUGGAGCAUGUGGUUUAAUUCGAUGCAACGCGAAGAACCUUACCUACUCUUGACAUCCUGCGAACUUGUGAGAGAUCACUUGGUGCCUUCGGGAACGCAGAGACAGGUGCUGCAUGGCUGUCUUCAGCUCGUGUUGUGAAAUGUUGGGUUAAGUCCCGUAACGAGCGCAACCCUUGUCCUUAUUUUGCCAGCGCGUAAUGGCGGGAACUCUAAGGAGACUGCCG
rnacentral:rRNA from 1 species